rnacentral:tRNA from 1 species
GGCUCGGUGGCGGAACUGGCAGACGCAGGGGACUUAAAAUCCUCCGAGGGCAACCUCUUGUGGGUUCGAUUCCCACCCGAGCUA